rnacentral:lncRNA from 1 species
UUUAAUUUAGUUUUUGUACUUCAAGAGCCACUGUGUUGGAGGGCAGCCAUCUUGGAUUCAUAUGGAGAAAAAACAAACUUUCAAGUACUAUGAAUGGUCAUUUUGAAUGUGGCUGAGUGGAAAAUUAUAGCAGAAUUAGUAACCUUUUCCUGCCAGUUGGACCUUUUCCUGAGAAAUUGGCAUUAUGAUAGAUUCAGAAAGAUGUUAAUGUUGGUACCUACCUAUUAAUGAUGCAGAUGUCUACAAGAGAGAAGUAAAUGAGCCAUAAACAAAAUAUCAAAUAUAACAGGUAUGUAUGCUUACCUGAAAAUAUAACUUUGCAAAAGUUUACAAAUGUACUAUGGAAGAAGUUUCAACAUGCAAAUACACCCUUAGAUUUUUAUUAGUUAUGACCCUUUUGAUCAUUAUUUGACUUCUACCUAAAAUUUUGUUUUUCUGUAUCAGAAAAAAGAGAAUCAUGUAUUUGUUUUGUGCUGUUAAGUGGAUCAUUGGAGUGCAACAAUCACUUUGCAAAACUAAGCCUGACAGGUUAAAAAUAGGGCCACUGAGCAUAAACUUGAUUUGUUCAACUGGACUGUAGCUUUCCUCAGUAUCAAAAGAGAAGCAAUAAAAUCAUAACACAAGACUAUUGAGAUUAAAAGACUAGUGUGAGUAAGUAAUUACUCACUAAAUUACUCACUAAUGUGAGUAAAUUCCAAUGAGUUACCCAGGAAAGGACUACUAGAACAGUUAUGAGAAAUCAUGGAUCACCUACUGUUUGAGAAUGUUAGAUUGGAAGAAAUUAACCUAGGAUGGAUUUUCUUAUAAUUGAUAUUUUAGAAAUAACAAAAACUAACUCCCAAUGCCAAAGCUAGAUAGGUUGAGCAACAAAAAUGUUAUCAGAUUAUUGGAUUAUGACUCAAAUUAUAAAAUAUCCAUGAAUCUACACUGAUACAAAGGGCAGUAAAUUUUGUUCAUAGAGAAGAAUUCCAAAUAAUUGGAAUUGUAUUACUUUUUCCACUAGGCAAUUAGAGUUUAACUUUUCACUCCUUGAGGAUGUGUUGUUAGACCUAGUGAUGACUACUUUCCAAAAAUUAAGAGUAUGGAAAACUAUUGUAACUUGACAGAGAAGCCUGUCAGACACUAUCCUAACCAAGUGAUAAAGUUAACAUCAUCAGUGAUACCAUGUGGUCAUCUUGCAAUCCAUAUGAUGUUAUGAGAAAAGCCUAUCACCUCUGUGGUAUUCUUUCCCCAAAUCCAUAUCUCCAGUCUAAUCAUAAGAAAAACACCAGACACAUCUAGAUGGGGGCCAUUCUGCAAGAUAACAGUACUUCUCCAGUCUGUGGAGGUCAUGAUGAAAGGUCAUAGAUAAAAGAAGAAUUGGGAGAGCAGAAUGCAAUGCAGACCCCUGGACUGCAUCCUGGAAAAGAAAGAAGACAUAAUGGAAAAACUGGUGAUAUCCAAAUAAAGUAUAAAGUUUAGUUAAUAGUGAAAAAAAAAACCAGUAACAAAGUCAGCCACAAGAUUGUGACAUGAACCGGGGCCACCUUAUCUCCUUUUUGGAAUUUAAGUUGCUUUUAUUCAAGACUUUCACAUUUUUCUCUGCUAAAUUGGGAUCUGUGUGUGGGACAUAUCACUAGUUCAUUGCUGAGUCCCAGCAAGAUUUUUCCAAGUUUUUUAUACAAUGGUUCUUCUUCUUAAAAAUGUAGAUGAGAACAUUUGAAACCUCUUUAUAUAGGAUACCCUUGGGAAACACAGAUCCCCAAAAUAAUAAAAUUAAAUGCUUGUGAAUGCUGUUUCUGGGUGUUAGGGUAAAUGAGUCAAGCAUGGCAUUCAGUAGGAUUCCGCUUGUUGAUAGAGAUUAGUUAUCUGAAACAUUCUACCUCCAUAUUGCCAGAAGCCAGUCUACUGAAAAAGCUUUUCAGGGUCAGCCUGGGCUAGAGAAAGAAAAAUAAGAGCCUAUCUCCCAAUCUUCAUCAUGGUUUUUGAUAUUCAAUAAAUCACCUAAUUACAGAAAGAUUUUCCACAGAAUGAAUGAGUCAUAAGUUGCCUUAACAAAUAUACAGUUCAAAUGCUUUUCAAACAUUUUCAAAGUAACAAUUAUUUCUUCAAAUAAAUCUUAAAUGAAACAAUAUGUUAAACAAAUAUGAUCCAACCUUACUAGAGUGUGUACUUUCAAGUGUGUUAAAGAAUGCCUUCCCUUCCUCCAUCCAGGCCCACAGCCUCUUUGGCAUCUCCAAAGAACCCUUAGGGCCCUUCAGAACAGGUAUGGAAAUGACUUAGUCUAUGGGACUCCUGGGUGGCUCAGCUGGGCCUCUGCUUUCAGCUCAGGGCAUGAUCCCAGAGUCCCGGAAUCGAGUCCCACAUCGGGCUCCCUGCAUGGAGCCUG